rnacentral:rRNA from 1 species
CUGGCGGCAGGCUUAACACAUGCAAGUCGAGCGGUAACAGCGGGAGCAUGCUCCCCGCUGACGAGCGGCGGACGGGUGAGUAAUGCUUAGGAAACUGCCCAGUAGUGGGGGAUAGCCCGGGGAAAACCGGAUUAAUACCGCGUACGCCCUUCGGGGGAAAGCAGGGGAUCUUCGGACCUUGCGCUAUUGGAUGUGCCUAAGUCGGAUUAGCUAGUUGGUGGGGUAAAGGCCUACCAAGGCGACGAUCCGUAGCUGGUCUGAGAGGAUGAUCAGACACAUCGGGACUGAGACACGGCCCGAACUCCUACGGGAGGCUGCAGUGGGGAAUAUUGGACAAUGGGGGCAACCCUGAUCCAGCCAUGCCGCGUGUGUGAAGAAGGCUUUCGGGUUGUAAAGCACUUUCAGUGAGGAGGAAGGCUCAAAGGUUAAUACCCUAUGGGAUUGACGUUACUCACAGAAGAAGCACCGGCUAACUCCGUGCCAGCAGCCGCGGUAAUACGGAGGGUGCAAGCGUUAAUCGGAAUUACUGGGCGUAAAGCGCGCGUAGGUGGUUUGAUAAGCGAGAUGUGAAAGCCCCGGGCUUAACCUGGGAACGGCAUUUCGAACUGUCAGGCUAGAGUGUGGUAGAGGGUAGUGGAAUUACCUGUGUAGCGGUGAAAUGCGUAGAUAUAGGAAGGAACACCAGUGGCGAAGCCGGCUACCUGGACCAACACUGACACUGAGGUGCGAAAGCGUGGGGAGCAAUCAGGUUAGAUACCCUGGUAGUCCACGCCGUAAACGAUGUCAACUAGCCGUUGGGACUCUUGAAGUCUUAGUGGCGCAGCUAACGCACUAAGUUGACCGCCUGGGGAGUACGGCCGCAAGGUUA